rnacentral:rRNA from 1 species
UUGCACGCUGGCGGCAGGCCUAACACAUGCAAGUCGAGCGGAUGAAGGGAGCUUGCUCCUGGAUUCAGCGGCGGACGGGUGAGUAAUGCCUAGGAAUCUGCCUGGUAGUGGGGGAUAACGUCCGGAAACGGGCGCUAAUACCGCAUACGUCCUGAGGGAGAAAGUGGGGGAUCUUCGGACCUCACGCUAUCAGAUGAGCCUAGGUCGGAUUAGCUAGUUGGUGGGGUAAAGGCCUACCAAGGCGACGAUCCGUAACUGGUCUGAGAGGAUGAUCAGUCACACUGGAACUGAGACACGGUCCAGACUCCUACGGGAGGCAGCAGUGGGGAAUAUUGGACGAUGGGCGAAAGCCUGAUCCAGCCAUGCCGCGUGUGUGAAGAAGGUCUUCGGAUUGUAAAGCACUUUAAGUUGGGAGGAAGGGCAGUAAGUUAAUACCUUGCUGUUUUGACGUUACCAACAGAAUAAGCACCGGCUAACUUCGUG